UAGGGAAUCUUCGGCAAUGGGGGGAACCCUGACCGAGCAACGCCGCGUGAGUGAAGAAGGUUUUCGGAUCGUAAAGCUCUGUUGUUAAGGAAGAACGAGUGUGAGAAUGGAAAGUUCAUACUGUGACGGUACUUAACCAGAAAGGGACGGCUAACUACGUGCAAGCAGCCGCGGUAAUACGUAGGUCCCGAGCGUUGUCCGGAUUUAUUGGGCGUAAAGCGAGCGCAGGCGGUUAGAUAAGUCUGAAGUUAAAGGCAGUGGCUCAACCAUUGUAGGCUUUGGAAACUGUUUAACUUGAGUGCAGAAGGGGAGAGUGGAAUUCCAUGUGUAGCGGUGAAAUGCGUAGAUAUAUGGAGGAACACCGGUGGCGAAAGCGGCUCUCUGGUCUGUAACUGACGCUGAGGCUCGAAAGCGUGGGGAGCGAACAGG
rnacentral:rRNA from 1 species